GAUGAAGAACGUAGCGAAAUGCGAUAAGUAAUGUGAAUUGCAGAAUUCAGUGAAUCAUCGAAUCUUUGAACGCACAUUGCGCCCGCCAGUAUUCUGGCGGGCAUGCCUGUCUGAGCGUCAUUUCAACCCUCAUGCCCCUAGGGCGUGGUGUUGGGGAUCGGCCAAAGCCCGCGAGGGACGGCCGGCCCCUAAAUCUAGUGGCGGACCCGUCGUGGCCUCCUCUGCGAAGUAGUGAUAUUCCGCAUCGGAGAGCGAUGAGCCCCUGCCGUUAAACCCCCAACUUUCCAAGGUUGACCUCAGAUCAGCUAGGAAUACCCGCUGAACUUAAGCAUAUCAAUAAGCGGAGGA
rnacentral:misc_RNA from 1 species